GGCUACAUAGCUCAGUUGGUAGAGAAUGAGACUCUUAAAUCUCAGUGUCGUGAGUUUGAGCCCCAGGUUGGGCA